GAUGAACGCUGGCGGCGUGCCUAAUACAUGCAAGUCGAGCGAACGGACGCGAAGCUUGCUUCUCUGAUGUUAGCGGCGGGCGGGUGAGUAACACGUGGAUAACCCACCUAUAAGACUGGGAAAACUUCGGGAAACCGGAGCUAAUACCGGAUAAUAUUUUGAACCACAUGGUUCGAAAGUGAGUGACGGUCGUGCUGUCACUUAUAGAUGGAUCCGCGCUGCAUUAGCUAGUUGGUAAGGUAACGGCUUACCAAGGCAACGAUGGCUAGGCGACCUGUGAGGGGGUUCGGCCACACUGGAACUGAGACACGGUCCAGGCUCCUACGGGAGGCAGCAGUAUGGAAUCUUCCGCAAUGGGCGGAAGCCUGACGCAGCAGCGCCACGCGAGUGCUGACAGUCUUCGGAUCGUAAAACUCUGUUAUUGGUGAAGAACAUAUGUGUAAGUAACUGUGCACAUCUUGACGGUACCUAAUCAGAAAGCCACGGCUAACUACGUG
rnacentral:rRNA from 1 species